CCGCACCUGCAUAGCGCUCACCACCU
rnacentral:miRNA from 1 species